UUACUUAAUAUCUUAUUAAUUUAUUUGAGAUUCAACAAUAAAUAUAAAUAUAACAACAACAAAUUGAAUAAAACAAUAUACAAUUCUUUAAGUACAGAGUACCUAAUAAUAUAUACUACAUAGUAUAUAAACUGUAUUGACAAAAUGUAUGCAAGUUUAGUUUCAUAACAAAUAUAUUAUAAUACAUAAAAAUAACUUAAAGGUGGUUGUUUUCUUGCUUUUUUGUUUGCAAAUCAGUCAAUCACUUUCUCCAGAUUAAGUUGACAAGCUAUUAUUUUUUCAAUUGAUAUGGUAGCCAGAGCUAAGACGGUGUUGUAACAUGCUGCUUUUUAAAUAAGUUUUGAUUAAUUUUAGUUUUGAAAAACUUCGUUCUCCUGUUGCUGUCGUCACCAGUAAAGUUAAAAAAAAUGAGGUAUGCUGCAAUAAUGUUGGAGAAGGUACUUGAUGCUGCGAUGUGAAUUAAUAGUAGUUCAGCAACUUCAUGUAUAGAAGUAAUUUCUAUUUACCUGAGUAUAAAAACACAUUUUAAACUGAAGCAGUUGAGGUUCAAAACUAGGCGAAAUUUUGGAAGGAUUUGCCAAUUGUAACAACUCUUAUCCUUCCAGAAUAUUUUUAUCAGAUGAUGCAACAAGAUAUGCAGUUUUAUUUUGCCCUUUCUAAACUUGGCACCCUCAUGAUUCAUACACCUGGAACAGUUUGCUCCAACUGCUCCACGGAAUGGUAUCAUGGGAUCUGCAAUUUGUACAUUUAGUCUAAGCUCUAUUCAAGAAGUUUUCAAUGGGAAGUUUAAAGAUCAAGCAACAUCAUCAUC